AUUGAACGCUGGCGGCAGGCCUAACACAUGCAAGUCGAACGGUAACAGGAAACAGCUUGCUGUUUCGCUGACGAGUGGCGGACGGGUGAGUAAUGUCUGGGAAACUGCCUGAUGGAGGGGGAUAACUACUGGAAACGGUAGCUAAUACCGCAUAACGUCGCAAGACCAAAGAGGGGGACCUUCGGGCCUCUUGCCAUCGGAUGUGCCCAGAUGGGAUUAGCUAGUAGGUGGGGUAACGGCUCACCUAGGCGACGAUCCCUAGCUGGUCUGAGAGGAUGACCAGCCACACUGGAACUGAGACACGGUCCAGACUCCUACGGGAGGCAGCAGUGGGGAAUAUUGCACAAUGGGCGCAAGCCUGAUGCAGCCAUGCCGCGUGUAUGAAGAAGGCCUUCGGGUUGUAAAGUACUUUCAGCGGAGAGGAAGGGAGUAAAGUUAAUACCUUUGCUCAUUGACGUUACCCGCAGAAGAAGCACCGGCUAACUCCGUG
rnacentral:rRNA from 1 species